rnacentral:rRNA from 1 species
AUUGAACGCUGGCGGCGUGCCUUACACAUGCAAGUCGAACGGUAACAGGGAGCUUGCUCCGCUGACGAGUGGCGAACGGGUGAGUAAUGUAUCGGAACGUACCUUUCAGUGGGGGAUAACGUAGCGAAAGUUACGCUAAUACCGCAUAUUCUGUGAGCAGGAAAGCAGGGGACCUUCGGGCCUUGCGCUGAUUGAGCGGCUGAUGUCAGAUUAGCUAGUUGGGGCGGUAAAGGCUCACCAAGGCGACGAUCUGUAGCGGGUCUGAGAGGAUGAUCGGACACACUGGAACGGAGACACGGUCCAGACUCCUACGGGAGGCAGCAGUGGGGAAUUUUGGACAAUGGGGGCAACCCUGAUCCAGCCAUGCCGCGUGAGUGAAGUAGGCCUUCGGGUUGUAAAGAUCUUUCGGCCGGGAAAAAAUCGCAUGGGCUAAUACCCUGUGUGGAUGAUGGUACCGGAAUAAGAAGCACCGGCUAACUACGUGCCAGCCGCCGCAGUAAUAC